rnacentral:tRNA from 1 species
CAUUAAGAAGCUUUCACGUAAGCAACAGCCUUUUAAACUGUAAUUCGGUGAUUCCAACCACCCUUAAUGA